rnacentral:rRNA from 1 species
ACUCAAAUGAAUUGACGGGGGCCCGCACAAGCGGCGGAGCGUGUGGUUUAAUUCGAUGCAACGCGAAGAACCUUACCAGGGCUUGACAUGCUGGUGGUACGGAUCAGAAACGUGAAGGACCCUUCGGGGAGCCAGCACAGGUGCUGCAUGGCUGUCGUCAGCUCGUGCCGUGAGGUGUUGGGUUAAGUCCCGCAACGAGCGCAACCCUCGCCGUCAGUUAUAUUUUUCUGACGGGACCGCUGGGAUAAACCCAGAGGAAGGUGGGGAUGACGUCAAGUCAGCAUGGCCCUUACGUCCUGGGCUACACACACGCUACAAUGGCCGGUACAAUGGGCUGCUAAGGCGCAAGCCGGAGCCAAUCCCGCAAAGCCGGCCUCAGUUCAGAUUGCAGGCUGCAACUCGCCUGCAUGAAGGCGGAGUCGCUAGUAACCGCAGGUCAGCACACUGCGGUGAAUACGUUCCCGGGCCUUGUACACACCGCCCGU